rnacentral:lncRNA from 1 species
CACACGAAGACCUAUCAUGGUGAUGUUCAUCUACGAGAGGGAGAUCAGAUCCACAUACCCUUGUAGAUCGCUAAGCGGGAAGCGUUAAGAAACGCGGUUGAUGUAGUGGUACAACUUCAUGAUCCAAAUCACCGUCAUCUCACGAUCCAUCCCGAUCUAGUACCGAACGGAUGGCACCUCCGCGUUCAGCACACGUAUAACUCGAUGACGAUCUCCGCCUUCUUGAUCCAGCAAGAGAGAAGGGGAAGUAGGAUAGUUCUCCGGCAGCGUGAUGGCGCGGCGGUGUUGGUGAUGAUCUAUUCCUACAGGGCUUCGCCCGAGCUCCGCAGAAAUCUAAUCUAGAGGAAGAACUAUGUGGUAUAGGUUUGAGUUGCACGUGGCAAAGUUGUGUCUCAAAAGCCCUAAAACCACCAAUAUAUAUAGGAGGAGGGGAGGGGCUAGCCUUGGGUAUCAAGGGAUCCCCAAGGGCGCCGGCCGAGAGGAGGAGGUGGACUCCCACCCCAAUUCGGUUUGGGGGAAGGAGUCCACUCCUUUCUUCCCACCUCCCUCUUUCCUUUUUUUCCUUUGGUUUUUUCUUCUUGUGGCGCCAUAGCCCACUUGGGGUGGCCUCACCAGCCCACUAAGGGCUGGUGCGCCACCCUAGUGCUAUUGGGCUCACUCCCGGGGUAGGUGGGCCCCUCUCGGUGAAUACCCGGAACCCAUUCGUCACUCCCCGUACACUCCCGGUAAUGCCCGAAAUCUUUCCGGUGACCAAAUUAAACCAUCGUGACGUCCGUGAUAUCAUCCGGGACUCCGAACAACCUUUGGUCACCAACACAUAUAACUCAACUAUACUAAAAUGUCACCGAACCUUAAGUAUGCAGAACCUGCGGGUUCGAGAACUAUGCAGACAUGACCCGAGACACUCCUCGGUCAAUAUCCAAUAGCGGGACCUGGAUGUCCAUAUUGGAUCCUACAUAUUCUACGAAGAUCUUAUCGGUUGAACCUCUGUGCCAAGGAUUCAUAUAAUAUCGUAUAACAUUCCCUUUGUCCUUCGGUAUGUAACUUGCGUGAGAUUUGAUCGUCGGUAUCUCUAUACCUAUUUCAAUCUCGUUACCGACAAGUCUCUUUACUCGUUCCGUAAUACAAGAUCUCGUGACUUACACUUGAGUCACAUUGGUUGCAAGGCUUGUAUGUGAUGUUGUAUUACCGAGUGGGCCCCGAGAUACCUCUCCGUCACACGAAGUGACAAAUUCCAGUCUUGAUCCAUGCUAACUCAACAGACAACUUCGGAGAUACCUGUAGAGCACCUUUAUAGUCACCCAGUAACGUUGUGACGUUUGAUACACACAAGGUAUUCCUCUGAUGUCAGUGAGUUACAUGAUCUCACGGUCAUAUGAAUGAAUACUUGACACGCAGAAAAUAAUAGCAAUAAAAUGACACGAUCACAUGCUACGUUUAUAAUUUGGGUCUUGUCCAUCACAUCAUUCUCCACUUAUCAAGUGACAACACUUGCAUAUGGUCAGAAAACCUUAACCAUCAUUGAUCAACUGGCUAGCCAACUAGAGGCUUACUAGAGACAUUGUUUUGUCUAUGUAUCCACACAUGUAUCAAUGCUUUCAUUCAAUACAAUUAUAGCAUGGAUAAUAAAUAGUUAUCUUAAAACAGGAAAUAUAAUAAUAACUAUUUUAUCAUUGCCUCUAGGACAUAUUUCCAACAAUGCAUGUAUGUGUUCAUAUGGAUGAAUGUAUGUGCAUUUAUGUGAGCAUAUAUGAUUAUACUAUGUUUAAAAAAAUGUGCAUGUAUUUUAAAAAUGUGAACUUUUGAUAAAUGCUAUACAAACAAUGUUCACAUUAUUUUAAAAAAGUUAUUCACGCCAUUCAAAAAAAUGUACGUGAGAUUUGAAAAACUGUUCACACAUUUAAAAAAAUGUUCAUGUCAUUUUAAAAUAAAGAAAAAUAAUAUGUCUGUGUAAUAUAAAUAUGUUUAAUUCCAUUCAAUAAAAAUAUUCACCCUGUAUUAUAUUCUUUUAACAUUUAUUCAAAAAGAUGUUCAACAUGAAUUUGAAAAUGUUCAUCAUGUAUUUAAAAAAUGUUUAACAUGUAAUAUUAUUUUUUGCGUGUAUGCAAAAAAAUGAACGUGUAAUGAAAAAGUAAGCAUAUAUUUAUACAAAAAGAAAAAGAAUAAGAAAAUGAAAACUAAAAACCCGAUAAGAGAACACAUGUUCAAUCUUAAAAUGUUGUGUCGAUCCGGUAUCUCAGAGGUGCUCGCACGGGUAAUGUAUGCAUAUAUAUAUUCAUAACGAUGAGUGUAUGUGCGUGUAUGUAAGCAUCUAUGGUUGCACCGUGUUUAAAGAAUGUGCACGUGUUUCAAACAAAUUAUGAUAUUUGAAAAAAUAGUUAUACAAACAAUGUUAGCAUAAGUUUAAAUAUGUCUACUAGCACUCAAUAAAAUGUACGUGAUACUGAAAAAUGGUCACACGUUUCAAAUAUAUGUUUGUAUCAUUUAAAAAUAAUAGAUAAAUAUUUUUGCAUAAUAUAAAACAUGUUUCGUACCAUUCAAUAAACUAUUCAACGUGUAUUUGAAAAUGUUUAAAAUUUAUUAGAAAAAGUUCAAAGAAGAAUUCAAAAAAUAUACAUCAUGUAUUUGCAAAAUGUUCAACGUGUAUUAAGAAUAUACUAAGAGUGCACUAAAAAAAGUACAAUAUAUAUUAAAAAAUAGACAUGUAUUUACAAAUAAAUAAAGGAAAAAACCAAAAACUAGCAAACCGAGUAAGAUAACACAUAGAAAUAGAAGAAGAAGAACAAAUGAAAGGUUCUACAACCGAUCGAAAGGACCUUUGAUGGGCUAGCUUACUAUGUCGAGGGCGCACCGAUCAGAUGCUCCUCUCGUCGCGGACGAGAUAUAGCAAAAUCACUAGUUAAAGGUUACCUUUUACAACGUUCAUGUCCGACCUUUUCAAAGGCUGUCAAGUGACACACUACAGAUCCACCACUUGUCGUAAUCUGAAAGUUUUUUUUCAUAGAUUCGUGUAUUCAAAAUAUUUUAUUUUUUAAAUCAUGCAUCCAAAUAUGAAACUUUUCUUAUUGUUGGAUUUCUUGUGCCGGGAUCUUUGAAAAUAUAUCUCAUGUUAAUAGAUUUGAGUUGUCUUUUUUAUUCACCAAAAAGCUAAAAACUAGAAAAUACAGAAACAAAAGAAACAAAUACCAAAAGACCAAAAAAGACAAGCGAACACCGGAAAGGCGAAGAAAGAAAAGAACCUGAAAGCACGGUUGCGGUUUUCACUUUCUCUGAAAGCACAUAAUGUACUUUUCUCUUUUCUUUAAGGAAGCAUAGGUUAUGCUUACAAUGUUGUGCUUUUUGCGGCUCAUAGAAGCUGUGUUGGAUGUUCUCUUUUUGAGACGUAGUGCUUCUCGUGUUGAAGCACAUAUUUGUUUUCUUAGAAGUACGAUUGUGCUUAGAAAGAAUAUGUUUUUCUCCAGUGUAAGGAAAGCUGGACAAAGAUUGAAAACCCGGAAAAAACAUCUAAAAACCAAACGAAUGCAGAAAUAUCUAUACCACUACAUAGUGUACGAGUUUUGAAUUGUAACUAAAGCAUCAAUCCUAGCCAUUGGUCUCCAUUAUCUAAUGGUUGAGGGUUGAAGGAUUCACGGUGAACAGUAGCACACAGCUACUUCUGCUGGGUUCUGAAACCAUCGCUUCACAACUCCUGCCUGCUCUGUCAUUUUGCAUUGUCAGGCUGAGACCUAAAUACCAGAGUCCACAGAUGCAUGGUCUGGUCUAGGAGGAGGAAGGAAAAAACAUAAGUAAACAAUUUAUGGGGUCCAUCACAUACAUCUGCCUUUGUUUUCCGGAAAAUUCUGGGUGUCACCAGGCUAGGGGAGUUGCAUCAUAUACCAAGUUUCUACUACAUAAUUUAUGCAUGCAUACAUUUCAUCAUAAAGUGUUGUAUACCCAUUUUUUUAUUUUACAAAAAUCAUGAAUAUAAUAUUGUUAAGACGUGCAUUGCACGUGCAUACAUACUAGUAAAAGUAAAAUCCUGAAAAAGGGAGCACUACACAAGGUAGUGGCUGAUGGACGCAUCAUUUGACACGCUUCCAAAACACAAAAAUAACCCUUGUGGAAGCCCUCUCAAGAUCUAAAUGUGACGCUCUUUGCGGCUCGCCUGGACCGGCCCAAUUCAUGAUCGCGAGGUCAAAAAACAGUAUAACACGCAAGAACCAACACCUUUCCUAGGAUUCGAACCCAGAGAUCAAAGUCAUGCACGUGAUGGGCUAGCCACUGCGACAACCAAGCUCUUGUGCUCUAUUUGCCGUGCAAUAUUAGAAGAAACGGAAGACAACGGCGGAACAAUUGAACAAAUUGUAAAACUGAUUACAUUUUUCAAAUACAAACAGUUUUCCAAAUGUCCCAAACAUUGUCUGAAAAACAGGAACAUUUUUUGAGAUGAAUAUUUUCUUUUCCAAAACACAAGUUUUGAAUUUGCGUUUUUUUGAAAGUGGAAACAUUGGAAGCAAAUUCCGGAACAUUUCUUUGUGCAAAAAAANNNNNNNNNNNNNNNNNNNNNNNNNNNNNNNNNNNNNNNNNNNNNNNNNNNNNNNNNNNNNNNNNNNNNNNNNNNNNNNNNNNNNNNNNNNNNNNNNNNNAGACUAGUUGAUUGCUCCCCCAUACACACUAUGGGUGAGCCGCUCUUCAAAAUAUCUUCACAAGUCCAUUGCCACCAUCCUCCACCACUUGACAUCAUCCUUCAUGGGUUGUAUGAGAUCUUCCUCUAGACGCAAGCCCAUGGAAACACACCUAACCCUACAUAAAACUCUCACGAAGACCAUGGGUUAGUACACAAACACGUAAUGGACAAUGCUUACCCUACCAUGGGAUCACUUGAUCCCUCUCGGUACAUCUUGUACGCGUUGUGNNNNNNNNNNNNNNNNNNNNNNNNNNNNNNNNNNNNNNNNNNNNNNNNNNNNNNNNNNNNNNNNNNNNNNNNNNNNNNNNNNNNNNNNNNNNNNNNNNNNNNNNNNNNNNNNNNNNNNNNNNNNNNNNNNNNNNNNNNNNNNNNNNNNNNNNNNNNNNNNNNNNNNNNNNNNNNNNACUUGGUCAUCAUAUAAACUCCUUGAACGCAAUAGAUGGACUUCAAGAAGUGCCUAUGGACAAAUCCUAUAAAUAUAACUUAAGGCAACCAUUAGUCCAUAGGAUUUGUCAUCAAUUACCAAAACCACAUAUGGAGAUAUAUGCUCUAACAAUCUCCCCCAUUUUGGUAAUUGAUGACAACCAUUUCAAGAGAGUUUAUAUAAGGAAAUAAGCAUAACCAAGCGCACACAUACAAACCAAUAAUGCAUGUGUGCAAGAUGUAAAUGCUUACACAAUAAAAGCAAAACCCUCUAAACAUAUCCAAAGUAAACUCUCUAAACUUCUCCCCCAUUAGCAUCGAUUGCCGAAAUGGACGAAAAGUUUAGAAAGCCAAUAUAGUAGGUGGUCCUCCAAAAAGUAUGUAUUUGUCAGCAAAUGAGUGCAAAGAAAUACACAAAUACACUGAUAAGUAGUUGGAGGAAAACAAACUACAUUGAGGACCCAAAGAUUGCAAAAAGAAGGGUCGUAUGGCACAAAGACAUACAAAAUAGAAGCAAGCAAUCAAAAGAUACCAUAUGGAACAAACAAUCACAUGGUCCUUUGAACCACAUGAAUAAAAGAUACUAUGAUACAGGCAAAGGAGUGUUUUAUCAAAAAUAGAGAAGCUCCCCAUGAUUUGUGUACUAAUAAGAGAUUUUUGUAUUUGAUACAAGUGCACAAAAUAGGAUCGUUGCUCCCCCAAAAUUAAUAAAAACACACAACGAGUGCAAGAAGAUAGACGAGACAAUAAGCAUAUCACUUGCACAAAACAAAUGGUUGAGCAACAUGUAAAAGAAGAAACUUAAGAUAGGCUCAACUAAAAUAAUGUGUGUGAGUCAUGGCGAAGCACUUGAGAAGACUAAGAUAAGGAUGAGCAUUACUCAUCAACAUAGUCUUAAUGAAAUGAGAAAAAAAGUGCAAGACAUAUCCUUUCCACACACACACAACUAGAAAAUGGGUUCACAAGCUUACUAAAAAACAAAUUGAGAACCAACGCUUGUGACAGCCCAUGGUGAAGAUAGGAAAUAAUAACCUUGUCAAGAGGAGGGAUACCAAUCGAAAUGGCAAAACCCUCAUCAAGACAAGCAUGAGGAAAAAUAAUCUUCACCACCAAAGAGUGCAUCAAGAUGCAAGAUUAUAAGAUACACACUCAAGACAAAUCCUUUCACGAAGCCACCAAAAACGGAAAAAGGAAAUGUAACGGUGGACGUGAAAGAAAAGAGGAUAUCAAUUAGAGAUGUAACUUCUCUCAUGUGUAAAAGAUUCAAGGUGGAAGGCAAUUGUGAUGAUAUAUAUCCACAAAGAAGGAUGUACACACGAAAUGGUUACAAGAAGGAACAAACAACAUAUCGAAAAGGAAGUCAUAAAUAUAUCAAUAAGGUCUUUGCUUGGAAGCAUAGCACAUGGCCUAAUAUUUUCUUAUUGUACAAUAUGAACUUUCAACAUACGAAUAUCAAAGACAUCCCAACUAGCAAUAAGACAUCAUUGUUGGAUGCUUUGAGAAAGGAAACAAGUACCACAAGAACGAAUCAAGAGAUUCAUGCCAUGAUGUAGCCUGGCCAAGAAAAGAUAGGUUUGGGCCUUUGCAAGAAAUGAAUGCAUGAAGUAGAUACUUGUUACCGAGACAACAUUGGAUUGAUGUAGUAGAUAGUUGUUCGUUGUUCAUCCUAACUUGGCUCCAAUAAUCACAUGGUCUCAAAACCUUCCUUGUAGGUGAGCCGAGCAUCCAACACAUCUCCAAUUGUUCCUGGAACAACAAAACAAACAAAAUGGUGCCCAAACUCAUUGGGACCAAAGAGUUAGAAAACCAACAAUACAUAGGACAAACUCCACAUACAUAUGUGCAUAUAGAUAUGAAUUUGAAUUUCAUGCACACUUUAGCCAAUUUAUGACAAGGUGGAGUUUCCCCUAUAUAUUGGGUCAAAGAAAGAAAGCAAGCAAAAGAAGCUAUAUAUAGUAAAUAUGCAUGCUCAAGGCAUUCAAGAAUCAACUUAACACAAAGUUGAUAGGACACCAAAAGACAAGGUAUCAAGUGAUAAUAAGAUACCAAACAAAAAACUAUCACUCGAAGGAUAUCAAUUAAAAGAUACCUCAAGGAAUGGUAUAUCCAUUGACACAUGCCAAAUAAAAGGAAACAGGAUACCAAUUGAAGGAAAACAAACACGAGGUAUCUAGUUUCCAAAAGAGAGCUAGGUUCCAACAAACCAUACCCUCGACAAAUUUUCAUGAUGGCACAAAGCAUCAUAAAGAGCAAGACUUACCUCCCAUAAACACGCACUUUAUGGGGCUCAAAAGAUGUUAUGAUAAACGAAUAAAGAGAGUGUUCUAAAGAAAAUAGGAUAGCUCCCCCAAGGGAUGUGCAUUAUAUAGAAUUAGCAUUUAAGUACAAAAUGCACAAGAUGGGAUCAUCACUUUCUCUAUAUCUAUAAAACACUAGACAUGAUAAAAUAGAUCCACAAGAGAGUCAAGGAAGACAAACGGAACACAAAAUCAAAUGUAAAGAUGAUUAGCAAUUUCUACCAUAUGAUGGGAAUACCAAUUGUCAAGGACAAAAAGUAUUUUGGAAAUAAUACUCAUUGGUAGAUCGCAAAUAUAUACAACAUCAUCUUUUACCCCUAAUACGCAAGCAGAUGACACUUGUAGAAAUAACAUGCCACCUAGGAACAAGAUAAUUCACAAUAUCAACACUAAGUGGCAAUACCUCAAAUGUACACAUUUUCUAGGCUUGUAAUAUGGACAUAGAAUAUUACUCCCAAAUAAUGUGAUAACCCAACAAUAUUAACAAGUGGCAAAUUAAAACCAACAAGAGAUAAUUAAUGGACCAUAUAGAAUUUGAAUUUAUCAUGAGUAAGACAUACCACAUAGAAACUAGAUAAUCUUGAAAUAUAAAUACUAAGUGGUAUUCCCCAUUGCUACGGCGACAACAAACCUUCCCCGGCAACAGCGCCAGAAAUCCUUCUCCUACGGCAACAACAGACCUUCCCCGGCGACGGCGCCAGAAAUCCUUCUACUGCGGGCUACGCCUAUAGGGAUUUCCUUGGAAAAUAUGCAAAGGAUUCCCCCGCGGACUUGGAGCCUUGCAUUGGUGUUCCCUUGAAGAGGAAAGGGUGAUGUAGCACAACGGCGGUAAGUAUUUCCCUCAGUUUGAGAACCAAGGUAUCAAUCCAGUAGGAGGAUCGCGUCAAGUCACAAGGUCCUGCACAAACACAAAGAGCUUGCACCCAACGCUAUGAAGGGGUUGUCAAUCCCUUAUAGAUUGUUUACAAAGUGAGAACUAAAAGCAAAAAGUAAACAAAGCAAAGUAAAAGUAAAAGUGGAGACGAUAGUUGUGAAUAGACCCGGGGGCCGUAGUGUUCACUAGUGGCUUCUCUCAUGAAAGCAAGUAGACGGUGGGUGAACGAAUUAUAGUCGAGUGAUGUCAGUUGUGCUUCCCUGGCUACGGCGCCAAGAAUAGUCGUGUUGACGGCACCAGGAAUCCUUCUGCUGCGGCUACGCCUUAAGGGACUUCCUAGGAAAGUAUGCAAAGGAUUUCCCCCGUGGCCUUGGAGCCUUGCGUUGGUGUUCCCUCGAAGCGGAAAGGGUGAUGUAGCACAUCGAUGGUAAGUAUUUCCCUCAGUUUGAGAACCAAGGUAUCAAUCCAGUGGAGGAGUAUCACAAGAUCCUGUACAAACACAAAAACUUGCUCCCAACACUAUGAAGGGGUUGUCAAUCCCUUAUAGAUUGUUUGCCAAGUGAGAACUGAAAGCAACAAAGUAACAAAGCAAAGUAAAAGCGGAGGUGUAAACGAUGGAUGUGAAUAGACCUGGGGGCCGUAGUGUUUACUAGUGGCUUCCCUCAUGAAAGCAAGUAGACGGUGGGUGAACAAAUUACUAUCGAGCAAUUGAUAGAACCGCGCAAAGUCGUGACGAUAUCUACGGCAAUGAUUAUAUCCAUAGGCAUCACGUCCAAAACAAGUAGACUGAUACUUUCUGCAUCUACUACUAUUACUCCNNNNNNNNNNNNNNNNNNNNNNNNNNNNNNNNNNNNNNNNNNNNNNNNNNNNNNNNNNNNNNNNNNNNNNNNNNNNNNNNNNNNNNNNNNNNNNNNNNNNCUAACUACGGACCCGUAGGUCUGAAGUGAACUACUCACGAGUCAUUGGAGGGGCGAUGAUGAUGAUGAAGAAUCCCUCCAACUCCAAAGUCCCCUCCGGCAGGGUGCCGGGAAGGGUCUCCAGAUGAGAUCUUGCGGAAACGGAAGCUUGCGGCGGCGGAAAAGUAUUUUCGAGGCUCCCCUGAUUUUUUCUGUAUUUUAGGGAAUAUAUAGGCCAAGGAUCUAGGUCAAGGGGCGGCCAGGGAGGCCACAAGCCCUGCCACCACUGCCUCUCCCUGGUGGCGGAGUGGGGGCUUGUGGGCUCCCAGGAGCCCUCCUGGCUUGGCCCACAGGCCCCCUGAUCUUCUUCCAUUCGGGAAAAAAUCAUUUCGGGGAUUUUAUUCCGUUUGCACUCUGUUCCAAAAUCAGAUCUGAAAAGAGCCAAAAACACAAAAAAACAAGAACUGGCACUUGGCACUAAAUUAAUAAGUUAGUCCCAAAAAAUAUAUAAAAGGUAAAUAAAACAUCCUAAGAUGACAAGAUAACAGCGUGAAACCAUCAAAAAUUAUAGAUACGUUUGAGACGUAUCAAGCAUCCCCAAGCUUAACUCCUGCUCGUCCUCGAGUAGGGAAGUGAUAAAGAAUGAAUUUUUGAUGCUUUCAUGCUACCUAGAAUAGAUGUCCUUUGUAACUCCUCUUAUGUGACGUGAAUGUUCAGAUCCAUUAGAUUCAAAACAAUAGUUUGCUAUUGACGUGGAAACAAUAAUAAUUCAAGCAAACUAGCAAGGUAAUCAUGAACUUUCAAAAUAACAAGGCCAAAAGAAAGUUAUCCCUACAAAAGCAUAUAGUCUGGCUAUGCUCUAUCAUCAUUGCACAACAAAUUUAUAACAUGCACAACCCCGGUAUUGGCCAAGUAAUUGUUUCACACCUUUACUUUUUCAAACCUUUUCAACUCUCACGCAAUACAUGAGCGUGAGCCAUGGUUAUAACACUAUAGAUGGUAUGGAGUGUGGUGGAGGUUGCAAGGCAAAAAAAAGAUAGUCACAUUAACUAGGCAUAUCAAUGAGAUGUGGAGAUGCUCAUCAAUAGAUAUCAAUGUGAAUGAGUAGGGAUUACCAUACAAAUGAUGCACUGGAGCUAAGAGUAUGUGAAAGAUCUUAAAGAAAACUAGUGGUGUGCAUCCAACUUGCUUGCUCACGAAGACCUACGGCAAUUUUGAGGAAGCCUAUCAUUGGAAUAUACAAGCCAAGUUAUAUAAUAAAAAUUUCCCACUAGCUAUAUGGUGGUGACAAAAUGAGAGACUCUCAAUCAUGAAGAUCAUGGUGUUUAAUAUGCACAAGUGUGGAAAAGUGGUAACAUUGUCCCUUCUCUCUUUUUCUCUCAUUUUUUUAUUUUUUGGUGGGCUCUUUGGCCUCUUUUUUUAUUUUGGUGGGCUUCUUUGGCCUCUUUUAUUUCCUCACAUGGGACAAUGNNNNNNNNNNNNNNNNNNNNNNNNNNNNNNNNNNNNNNNNNNNNNNNNNNNNNNNNNNNNNNNNNNNNNNNNNNNNNNNNNNNNNNNNNNNNNNNNNNNNCUAUAGAAGGAUCUUAUGUGUCAACAGUUUUCUACUCCCUCCGUUCCUAAAUAUAAGACCUUUUAGAUAUUUCAUUAUGAACUACAUACGGAUGUACAUAGACAUAUUUUAGAAUGUAGAUUCACUCAUUUUGCUCCGUAUGUAGUCUCCUAGUGUAAUCUCAAAAGGUCUUAUAUUUUGAAACGGAGGGAGUAGCUUUCUAGCUGAAGAAUAUUCUACCUUGCAUGGUGUUCACUAUGUGCUGCCUGUAUACUGAAUUCAUGAUUGAUCUGUAGGCACUUAUUUGAUGCCAAGUAAUGGUCUAUACCCGCAUCUUAAUUCUAUACAAGUUUUUCUAUAGAUGUAGGUAGUGCUGAUGCUGCAAACCAUGUGUUGGGAGUGAGCUUCUAUUUUCACGGCGUUCUCUUCUCAAAAUAUGGGUGUGCUAUGUAUGGUUUGUUUUCCCCUUUAGAACAGUUAAACUUCCACAGUUAACAGUUGUAGUGCAUAAACCUGCUUUAGUUUUGCUGAAAAACUAUAUACAUAAAUGAAUAAAUGAACUUGAUCUACGACCCAUCCUUACAAUAAGGGAACUGAUAUUUUCCAUGUAUGUUUACAUUAACUGAAAUAAUAUGGUGUGCAUUGGAAAUUUUGAAUGAUUGAAGGAUAUAUUCGUGGAUUAUUUUUUAUUUUUUGUGGGCACGUGUCGCUGCGGUUCCACUUGCCCAUUGGUUACAAAAACUGCAAAAAGAUCUCCACCAGAGUACAUAAGAAGUGCUUUCAGUCAUAAGUGUGCAUGAUAUUAGCCACAUAUUUUCCAUUGGUAGAGCCUUGUUCUGCUGCAAUAAUUUAUUUUUCGAACUGCUUUGGUAUAGUUAGUUACCGCUAUAAAUACCUCCUACCGUAUUGCUUCUUAGUACCACAGUGCAACCAAGUUGUAUAUUUCUCUUUAUUUUGAGAUGGCAGAUGAGUAUGAUCGCAGCUACGGAAGGUCAGUCACAAACAGUGACGAAGGCGGGUACAACAAGACCAGCAAGGAAGACUAUGGCCGCAGCAGCGAUGAUACCGGCGGCUUCAACAAAUCCAGCAACGACAACAAUGAUGGUGGGUAUAAGAACACCAACACGGAUGACUACAGUAGCAGUGGCGGCUACGACAAGUCCAGCACAGACAGUUUCGCUGGCGGCUUGACCAAAUCUAGCACCGAUGACUACAAUGGCAGUGGCAGUUACAACAAAACUGGUGCCGAAGACUACAGUGCCAGUGGCGACUACAAGUCCAGCACUGACGAUUUCAGUGGCGGCCACAACAAGACUAGCACCGAUGGCUACGGCAGUGGAUACAAGGACUCCAGUACCGACGACCACAAGUCGAGCUCCGACGACUAUGAUGGUGGCUACAAGAACUCCAUCGCCGAUGCCGGCUAUGGGGAAGGUGGUUACAACAAAUCAAGCACCGAGGACUCCCAAGCCUACAUGAAAUCAAGCACUGAGGACUCCCAGGCCUACAACAAAUCAAGCACCGAGGACUACAGCAGUGGUAAGAAUACCUCCAACACUGAUGACUUUGACAGCAGUGGCUACAACAAGCCCAGCACUGGUGACGACAAUGACCGCAGUGGUGGCUACAACGAGUCCGGCGCCGACGGGUAUGCCACUGGAGCAGGCAAGACCGGCUCUGAUGAUUACUAGACAAAAUCGUCGCGAAAGCGAGUGUGUUUGCGGUGCUAAAUAUGUACGUGUGGUUGCUACUGCUACUGGUCCUUGCUAAAUGAUCAUGUUUAUGUAAUCUGGAGUAAAUGUUUAUGCGUCAUGUUUAUAAUUGAAUGUUAUACUUUGUCCUGUUGGUCCCAUUCUACCAGCUACGUUAUUCUAGCAGCUGUAUGUUACGACUGGCUGGCUGCAUUUUUUGAAUCGUUGUGCAUUGUGGGGCUUGCAGACGCGAAGCGCGAGAGUGUAGCGCUCACGUAUAGGACAAGGCAGACCUACUCCCCUUCCGCGAAUAUGUG